rnacentral:rRNA from 1 species
GACGAACGCUGGCGGCGUGCUUAACACAUGCAAGUCGAACGGAAAGGCCCUGCUUUUGUGGGGUGCUCGAUUGGCGAACGGGUGAGUAACACGUGAGUAACCUGCACUUGACUUUGGGAUAACUUCAGGAAAAUGGGGCUAAUACCGGGUAGGAGCUCCUGCUGCAUGGGGGGGGUUGGAAAGUUUCGGCGUUUGGGGCUGUACUCGCGGCUUAUCCGCUUGUUGGGGGGGUAGUGGCUUACCAAGGCUUUGACGGGUAGCCGGCCUGAGAGGGUGACCGGCCACAUUGGGCCUGAGAUACGGCCCAGACUCCUACGGGAGGCAGCAGUGGGGAAUAUUGCACAAUGGGCGGAAGCCUGAUGCAGCAACGCCGCGUGCGGGAUGACGGCCUUCGGGUUGUAAACCGCUUUCGCCUGUGACGAAGCGUGAGUGACGGUAAUGGGUAAAGAAGCACCGGCUAACUACGUG